UUGCAGUUAAAAAGCUCGUAGUCGGAUUUCAGUAUUAGGCCCUUCUUCCAAUACGGUUGCUAGUGGUCUUUACUUCCUUAACAGAAUCUUUCAUCUCAUUAAUUUGGGGUGUUUGGGGCCUGUUUCUUUUACUUUGAGAAAAUUAGAGUGUUCAAAGCGGGUUUUCGCCUGGAUAUUACUCUUGGAAUAAUAAUAUAGGACUUUGGUUCUUUUUUGUUGGUGACUUAGAACCGAAGUAAUGAUUGAUAGGGACAGUUGGGGUCAUUCGUACUAUGAAGCGAGAGGUGAAAUUCAUGGACCUUUGUAUGACGAACUACUGCGAAAGCAUUUGACUAGGAUGUUCCCGUUGAUCAAGAACGAAAGUUAGGGG
rnacentral:rRNA from 1 species